AUGAACGCUGACAGAAUGCUUAACACAUGCAAGUCAACUUGAAUUUGGGUUUUUAACUUAGGUUUGGGUGGCGGACGGGUGAGUAACGCGUAAAGAACUUGCCUCACAGCUAGGGACAACAUUUGGAAACGAAUGCUAAUACCUAAUAUUAUGAUAAUAGGGCAUCCUAUAAUUAUGAAAGCUAUAAGCGCUGUGAGAGAGCUUUGCGUCCCAUUAGCUAGUUGGAGAGGUAACGGCUCACCAAGGCGAUGAUGGGUAGCCGGCCUGAGAGGGUGAUCGGCCACAAGGGGACUGAGACACGGCCCUUACUCCUACGGGAGGCAGCAGUGGGGAAUAUUGGACAAUGGACCGAGAGUCUGAUCCAGCAAUUCUGUGUGCACGAUGAAGUUUUUCGGAAUGUAAAGUGCCUUCAGUUGGGAAGAAACAAAUGACGGUACCAACAGAAGAAGUGACGGCUAAAUACGUG
rnacentral:rRNA from 1 species